AAAGUCAUACAGCUUCAAAAGUUGUUACUUCUGAAAAUCAAGUUUUAAACCCAACAUGUAGUAAUAUUUGUAAUGCAAGUUUUACAGAUAUUCAUGAAAGUCAUACAGCUUCAGAAGUUGUUGCUUCUGAAAAUCAAGUUUUAAACCCAACAUGUAGUAAUAUUUGUAAUGCAAGUUUUGCAGAUAUUCAUAAAAGUCAUACAGCUUCAAAAGUUGUUACUUCUGAAAAUCAAGUUUUAAACCCAACAUGUAGUAAUAUUUGUAAUGCAAGUUUUGCAGAUAUUCAUAAAAGUCAUACAGCUUCAAAAGUUGUUACUUCUGAAAAUCAAGU
rnacentral:lncRNA from 1 species